AACUUUCGGCAAUGGAUCACUUGGCUCUCGCAUCGAUGAGGAACGCAGCGAAAUGCGAUAAGUAAUGUGAAUCGCAGAAUUCAGUGAAUCAUCGAAUCUUUGAACGCACCUUGCGCUCCUUGGUAUUCCGAGGAGCAUGCCUGUUUGAGUGUCAUUAAAUUCUCAACCUUGUCAGAAUCUGUCUGAUAAUGGCUUGGAUGUGGGGGUUUUGCUGGCUCUGUCAGCUCCCCUUAAAUGCAUUAGCUGGUGCCCUGUAUUGGUGUGAUAAUUAUCUACGCCAUGGAUUAGCGCCGCUUCUAACCGUCCGUUCAUUCGGACAAUACAAAUGACAAUUUGACCUCAAAUCAGGUAGGACUACCCGCUGAACUUAAGCAUAUCAAUAAGCGGAGGAC
rnacentral:misc_RNA from 1 species